GAUGAAGAACGUAGUAAAAUGCGAUACUUGGUGUGAAUUGCAGAAUCCCGUGAACCAUCGAGUUUUUGAACGCAAGUUGCGCCCGAAGCCUUUUGGCCGAGGGCACGUCUGCCUGGGCGUCACGCAUCGCGUCGCCCCCCACAAUUCUCCGUAAAAGGAACAUGUGUUUUGGGGGCGGAUAUUGGUCUCCCGUGCUCAUGGCGUGGUUGGCCGAAAUAGGAGUCCUUUCGAUGGACGCACGAACUAGUGGUGGUCGGAAAAACCCUCGUCUUUUGUUUCGUGCUGUUGCUCGCAAGGUAAACUCUUUAAAAACCCCAAUGUGUCGUCUCUUGACGACGCUUCGACCGCGACCCCAGGUCAGGCGGGACUACCCGCUGAGUUUAAGCAUAUCAAUAAGCGGAGGA
rnacentral:misc_RNA from 1 species